UACAGAGGUCUCAAGCGUUGUUCGGAUUCAUUGGGCGUAAAGGGUGCGUAGGUGGCGCUGUAAGUCAGGUGUGAAAUUUCGGAGCUUAACUCCGAAACUGCAUUUGAUACUGCGGUGCUUGAGGACUGGAGAGGAGACUGGAAUUUACGGUGUAGCAGUGAAAUGCGUAGAGAUCGUAAGGAAGACCAGUGGCGAAGGCGGGUCUCUGGGCCGAUACUGACGCUGAGGAGCGAAAGCGUGGGGAGCGAACAGG
rnacentral:rRNA from 1 species